CCGUGGAACUUGUUGCUCUGAACCAUGGCAAUGAGACCGCUCUUGAUCUCAAAGUUGUUGUUCUGCACAGGUGGAGGCACGAUGCCAUUACGCUGAUUGUGGUUGCGUGGUGCAUCGCCUGCAU
rnacentral:sRNA from 1 species